AGGCCUUCUCCAAGAACUUAAAG
rnacentral:piRNA from 1 species